AAAAAAAAGAAACAGGCACCCCGCCGAUAAGUGCAUUAACCCAUGACAAGAGUAACCCACAUUGAAACGCCCACGAUGGUGGGGACAACGGCUUCGGAAUCAGAGUCGGAAAAUGUGGAAAUGGCAUCGCAGGCCCAAACGCAGGAUAAUCUUCUCGUAUUUUUAACGCAUUUGUAUGCCGAGUGCGUCCACCGAUAUCAGAAUGUCACAAACGAUACAGAGGACUCAUCACUCUCGCUGGGAGCAGCAACAGACUCCGAAAACGAUUUAAAGGGGAACUUUAGCACGGUGCCGCGAUAUCUGGAGAAUGCCGCACUGAACGAGGGCACCAUUGACAUGCGAAACGUGGACGAGAAGCUGGCAGAGCAGGAGGAGCUAAUGGCCACCGUUUCCAGUGCCACAAUGGCCACAAAUCAGCGGGAUAGGCGGCUCUUUUGCCCCCUGGACUUUGACGGAUAUCUCUGCUGGCCAAGGACACCGGCGGGCACUGUGCUAAGUCAAUAUUGUCCCGAUUUCGUUGAAGGAUUCAACAAGAAAUUUCUGGCCCACAAGACAUGCCUGGAGAAUGGCUCCUGGUUCCGUCAUCCGGCGACCAAUCAGACCUGGUCCAAUUACACCAACUGUGUGGAUCACGAAGACCUGGAGUUUCGCAAGUUCAUCAACGAACUGUACGUGAAGGGCUAUGCCCUCUCCCUUCUGGCCCUGCUCAUAUCGAUUAUCAUCUUCUUGGGCUUCAAAUCCCUGCGCUGCACCCGCAUUCGAAUCCAUGUGCACCUAUUCGCCUCGCUGGCAUGCACCUGUGUGGCCUGGAUUUUAUGGUACCGCUUGGUUGUGGAGCGACACGAAACCAUAACCGAAAAUCCGCUCUGGUGCAUUGGCCUGCACCUGGUGGUGCACUACUUCAUGCUGGUCAACUAUUUCUGGAUGUUUUGCGAGGGCCUGCAUCUGCACCUGGUGCUCGUUGUGGUCUUUGUCAAGGAUACGAUUGUGAUGCGCUGGUUUAUAGUCAUCAGCUGGUUCUCGCCGAUUCCUAUUGCAGCUGUGUAUGGACUGGCCAGGCAUUUCAGCAAUCCGGACAAUAAACAGGUAAUAACACUGGCACUUUAGCACUUUUUUGGCUGGAAAAACCUUUUCAAAAUGCUCUCUCAUUUUCGUUGGUCAUGCAAUUUGGGCAAUAUGCUGCCUGCCUGCCUGUCGUCUGCCUGCCUGCCUGGCUGGCUAUACCAAUGAAAAGUGCUCGAUAAGCGCGUUUCACACACGACUUGGCAAGGACAUCGAGUGACUACUGUCACCACCAACAGUAUCAUCAUCACCAUCACCAUUACCAACACCACCACCACCACUGCCACUGCCACUGCCACUACAGUAAACACCAUCCCACACCCAACCCUGAAAAUCACCAAAGACAAGGGUAAGUCAACGCUGAAAAUCUGUUUAUCAAACAAACUGAGUUUCUUCUUCUGCUUUAUUUUUUCUUUUUUUCUGUCAGCACAAAAUACUUCGGCUAAUGGCUUGGAAUUUAAUUAAAUCGCUGUAGGUAGAUCUGGCGAUAUGGAUGGAAAGCCAUGUGUAAUGUCCUGAUAUAUGAUACGAAUCGAAAGAUGCUAACCCUGCAUAAUGGACAUUUAGUGCUCCCCCUCUCUCGGCUGGGAACAAUGGCAGAUGGAAACCAAAUCGCAAUCAAAAAAAAAAUACGUGUCAAAUGGUAAAUUAUGUUUAUUACUAAAGGAGGAAAGUGCUUGCUGGGUUUGUUCUUGUUUUUCGUGGAGAUGAUUCUUCUUUGAUCUUUAAGGGCAUUCUAUAUUGGUAUUGGCGGAGAUUUAAGCUUGAAUUUAUUUUUAUAUUAAGAAAAUCUGAUUAAAAGAAGUAAGAUGUUUAAUUUCCUUAAGAAAAAAUCUGAUUAAAUUAUAUAAUGGCUUAGAAAAAGUAUGCAACUAGAAACUUUUGCACUUCUUUUUUGCAUUUACUGAAAGUAAAUUUGUUAAUUAAACUAUUAAACAUUGGCUUGUUUUUAACAUAUAUUUUUAAAACAAAAAACAGCUUUAUAAACACCUAAAACUUUUAAGAAAUAAUGUUUGCUAAUUCUUCUAUUUUUUGUAUAAUUUUUAAAAACAAAAGUUAAGUUCUAUUAACAGCCUAAAAUAUUUAACCAAAAACCCAUUCAAAGUGCUUUGCCUAGUCCUUAUUAGAAUACCAUAAUUUAGCCUUCUGAUUUGUAUACUUUUUAGUUUCCAAUUGGAAUUUCGUUAGGGGUUGAAAGAGCAACAAAAAAAAAAGGACUCUUCCUAGAUCCUGGCCGCCGGCAUCUGUGUGUGUGUGUGUGUGUGCGUGUUUGUAAAAGGACUGCAUUGGAAAUAGGGUAAAAACCUGACGCGAAAAACAAACAAACGGGCCGCCGCAUGUCCUGCCAUAAUGUCCUGUCCUGUUCCGGGGUUCAUUGAACCCCCGUGCGGCCGUGUUCGGCCUUAGGUUUGAGUUUUUCCCGCUUUUCCGCCUGUGUCUUUGCCACAUUUCCCACACCACAAUUGCCAGUUUGCCUUUUUUUUUCGCUCUCUCUCUCUCUCUCUGUCGUAAGGAUCGUGGCAUGUUUGGGUUUGGGUUUGGUUUUGGGUCCCCAACAGCUGUUACUGCGUUCGUUGAACCCGACAAAAGGUGCAAUACUGGGUUAAAAGCCAAAAGGCACUGAGCGAAAAUAGUUCUAUCUGUCUAGGAAUUGGAAGUUUUUUAAGUAGGAAUAUAAAUUGGGGAAUAUUUCCUUUGAAAAUUUGUAAAGGAAAGCUAAACUUUUAGCCUUUAAAUCUUUUUAAAAUCUUUUAAAUAUUUACACUUAUUUUUGAAUAAAAUUCUCCCCUUUUUCCCGCAGUGCAUCUGAGGCAAAGACCGAGAUGAAAAGAAAAUUGCACAAAAGGCAAAGCGAACAAAAGGAAGUGCAGUGGAAAUGCAAGGGGGCGGCAUCUCGCCCACAAGGAUGCAGGAUUCAUACCGGGGACAUCCUUUAAUUGCGCAGCAUGCAGCGUGACAACGACACCCGCUUACCCCCCUCGCUUAGCCCCCCCAACAACAACAGCAACAAAGGAAAAAAAAGACGGACGGAGAAGGCGAAGCCGAAGGAGAAAAGGAGAAAAAUGUGUAAUUGACACUUUUACGCCGAUAUAUCUGUGACCUCAUUUGCGAAUGUGUGUCGGCUGGCAUUUUGUCGAGGGCCUUGAGGAGGGUCAGGAUAGCACACAUGACUCCUCAAAGUCCUCAAAGCUAAAGGAUAAGGGAGCCAGUCCUUAAGCGGCGGAGUAUUUAAAAAGGGCGUAUUGGAUAGGAGAAAGCUAUUAGGGUGAGCCGGAGUACCAGAACUUGACUCAAUGUGAAUGAUGCAAAUUAUAUCAGGCUAAGAUAAUGGGACAGAACUCCCUCCCAUCCUACACACCCUAACAGAACUCGACCAAAGCUACAGGAAAGACAUGAAAGAAUAACAGGAUUUAAUGGUCAAAGCGGAAAGGAUUUCGAAUAUUUCACUUUAAAGUGCACAUAUUUGCAUGAAAAGAAGAGGAUAAGAGCUAAAGGGAUGGAGAGCUAAAAGGGAUGGCGUAAUUGCUUUAAGAGGCAACAAAAAAAGGAAUCACACAAGUCGCUGAACAUCAGCUAAUUUCACUCCUUCCCAAAAUCAAAAGACAGAUAGAGAGAGAGAGGAGAGCAAAAAAAAAGACUGGCACAAAGGAGGCAAAAAACUUUUAACAGCCAUCGAGUGACUUCCGUUUCCGGCGCCCGCAGCCACCCACUUGAAUGCUAAUCAGCUGAAUGGCAAAUCAGUUAAUCUAUAUGCCACCACAAAUCGAUCGAAUCACUGGCCAUAUAUAAUACGACCCACCGCCCGCCCGGCCGCACGCCCGUCAUCCAGAUAUUUAUGCGUUUCGACAGGCGCAGACACUGUGCGAAAUAAAUGCCUGAUGCUGACAUUAAGUAUACGCCCCAUAAUCACCACGUGACUGGUUUUGUAUGUACUAGAAUCCCCUGGUUUUUGUUUUUCACAGAGACAAAGACAAAACAGAAAACAGUCAAAAGGUGUGAGUGAGAUGAGAUGAUAUAACCCCAUCUCACUUGCAUAAAAAAGUAUAAAUAAAAGGACAAAUCUAACGAUGCGUUAUGCGAAUAUUUGCAUUUGAAAUUGAGAAAUGUUCUCUCUAUCAAUGUGCGUGGGUGCAAGUCAGCUGAAUACAUACAUAUGUAUGCAUAUAUACGCUUUUACUAACACAAAUACUACCGUAUACACACCACCCAUACACUUCAAUACAUGUGUGUGUGUAAGAGAGUCCUAUGUACGUGAAUUACAUGCCAAAUUUUAUAAAGGGUGCUAGAAGUAAGCUUAACCUUACAUUGCCUAAAAAAUAGUAAUCUAUAUUGAUAUUAACUUUUAGGAUAAAUAUUUUAAAGUUAUUAUUUUGUUACUUAGUUGUUAAUAUAAAAAUAAAUAAAUGGUGUCUAAGAAAGUUAGAAUAUUCAUAAAUAAUAUGA